ensembl:lncRNA
GUUUCCAAGUGUGUAGAAGAGAGCGCAUUCUCCAUCUUAAAUUUGAUCGUUUAUUUACGUAUUAGGUUUGAUUAAAAACGUUGUUUGACUUGUUUGGAAAAGUUUAUUAGUAACGUUUUGGGAUUCAUUUUGUAUGCAUUUUGAUGGAGGGAAACUGGGUGGAUUUUUGACUGAAGCGCGAUAGCUAAACUGAGUUUUUAUGGAUAUAAAGAAGGAUAUUAUCAAACAAAAGGACCAUUUGUGAUGUAUCUGGGACCUUUUGGAGUGCCAACAGAAGAAGAUCAUCAAAGGGACUAAAUUGGGCACCUGAUUGCAUUUCACUCCGUUACAUUGGCUUGGAAGAAGAAAACAGUCCUGCCUGAUUCUUCGCAGGGAAGUCAUAGCGGACACCUACGAAGAAGGACUGUGUGAUGAUGGCAUCCCAGAGAGCUAGCUGAUCAAGGGGUCAAAAAUGUAGAUAUUGCCAGAUGGCCUGUUCCUCGGACAGUGAACAGGCCAAGGAAGCUUUAUUGCUGGCAAAAGUGUCCAUAACCAGAGGUAUGUUUUGAUGUGAGAGAGGAAGCCAGUCCCAUCAUCGCCACCUCACCCGCUCUUAAGAUAACCUUUGGGCCAACUGGGGGCCUAAGGCUGGUUUGGAGACACUGCAAUUGUGAUG